GUCAGACAAACCUCUGACUGGCCUCGAGUGUCACACUUGGUUUUCAUGACCUGAGAAGCAGGCAAAGCCAGCUGAGAGCCAUGUCAGGAGGAUCCAGGUGAACAACAAGAUGCCAAUGCUGACUCAAAGGCACAUUUUCCCCCAUAGAAUUGAAAGACAGCUUUUCUGUGCCCAACAGGAGAGCAGCAUUGUAGCUUCAGAACUUAAGAAUCUCUCUCUUUUCCAGAAGGAACAGCAUUUGACUCCAUCGCUGUUGGAACAACCAGCAGACAGGGUCUCUCAAUGAACUUGGAACUUAUCCAUUUAGCAAGAUGAGCUGGCAGAAAAUUCCAGGGAUCCUAUUGUAUCUGCCUCCCAACACCAGGAUGACAGGCAAAUAUCAUCUUACUCAAACUGGAGGUGACAUUAUCGUCUUGUGGCAAAUUAAUUUAUUUCUAGCCCUUUCUUUGUCUGAAACAGCAUGCAUUCUGUGAGCCUAUUAACAUGCCUGCAGGUAUUAUUUCCAUCAUUAUACUUCAUUUCCUGUACUUAUA